rnacentral:lncRNA from 1 species
GGGCGGCCCGAGUGUGAGGCAACAAAGGAGGACAAUGAGCACACAUCUCGUCUUUUGCUCACCUUGAGGAGAUGAUGAGCUCCACUGGACCUUCACAUCAAGGUUCUCCCAGGACCUCGUCAUGGAACUCCGCUUGGGCUGCCCGACACGCCUCUGCUCCACCGUGUGUGUCAGGACAGAGUGCGUCUCACACUCCUCUUGCUUAUCUGCAAGGGACGGAUAUUCAAACGAAGCCCUUCCCAUCGGCCUGGACAAAGAGCUGCUGUCCCACAGUUUGAAUAUUGAGAUGAAAAAGAUGGGUUGAUAGGCGACUUGGAGAGCAUCGAGAAUUCAUAAGAGAUGGGGAAGGGCUGGAACAUGGGUUCUGUUCCAGGGUAAAGGGAGUGAAAGAGAGCCCUCUGGAUGAGGGAGACAAGGCAUUCUGGGAAGACUGAAACGACUGGAAUUGGACUGGCACUGGGGUGAGGGGACAUGGUGCUGUGGGGUCUUUCGGUGCUGCUCGCAUCCUGGCUUUCGUCCGCAGGGUGGUGCAGUUCUGAACCCUUCCAUAACCUGGACGUGAGCUCAGCGCUCCAGAACCUGACCCGCCGCUCAUCCGCCUGGCUACGCCCGGUGCGGAGCUGGCAGCGCGCCCUAGUGGUGCAUGUGGACCUGCAGCUGCAAGCGGUGCUGGAUGUGGUGAAUAGCGAUACGCUCGAACCCGAGGCCUUGGGGUAGAGGCAGCGAGAGAAGGAGGGACCCUUAAAGACUUGUAGUGAUGGGGUGGUUGGGUCUGAACUUGCUUCUUCCCACUGGAAACAUCCAGGUUCAUCGGUGAUGCAGAGUAUGGCUGUGUGUGAGUGUGUACAGUGUGGGUACAGUGUGGGUACAGUGUGGGUACAGUGUGUUUCUUUCCUUGUACUGUUAGGAUGAAAAGGCAGAACGAGUCCAGCUGCAUGUGCUCAUCAGUCAGGUCAGUGUCCCUGUCGCAUUCACACCGAACGCCUUGUGUCCACAGCGGCGCCUCAUGU